rnacentral:rRNA from 1 species
AUACGGAGGGGGUUAGCGUUGUUCGGAAUUACUGGGCGAAAAGCGCACGUAGGCGGACUGGAAAGUUGGGGGUGAAAUCCCGGGGCUCAACCCCGGAACUGCCUCCAAAACUUCCAAUCUAGAGAUCGAGAGAGGUGAGUGGAAUUCCAAGUGUAGAGGUGAAAUUCGUAGAUAUUUGGAGGAACACCAGUGGCGAAGGCGGCUCACUGGCUCGAUACUGACGCUGAGGUGCGAAAGCGUGGGUAGCAAACAGGAUUAGAAACCCCGGUAGUCC